UAGCUUUACACACCAGGCCACUGGAAGAAUGUUUUGGACCAUCCAGCAUUUAGAAACUGAAUUAUUUGAAGCACUGCUGAAGGUGCUAAGUUUGAUCUCUGGUCUGGGAGAGAGACAAUCCUGAAGCUAUUAUCUGAGUUGCACCGAAGAGGCUUGAAUUGCUGCGUAGUGGCAUAGUGACAGUUCUCACUCCCCAUUUCCAAUCACCCUCCAGGAGGGCCAGUGUAAUUCAAGCCCUGAUGGCGUUGUUCCAAGGUGAAGAGUGAUAGGUGCUCCAGAGAACACCUCAACAGCGAACAAGGCUGACAGAAAUUCAAUGCAACAUGGACAGCUGUAAAGGCAGAGAUCUGAACAGUCCUGGACACCUUUUAUGUUGGAGAUGAUGUGGCUGCUCACCUCCAUGCAUUUGAAAGAGACAUAACAAAAAGAAUCAAAGCCAUUCUGGAGCCGCAGUUGAAGGGAAAUCCUUGAUACAAAAAAAGCAAGACAGCAAGUAUAUUGCUCUUGUACCAUUUGAUCCGAUUUAAUGAAAUGAUACCUUUAUUUUCACUAAAACAUGCAUUGUAGCUACUGAAGACAAACUAA